GUCUUGUGUACUUGUGUACUUAACAAUAUUAAGAUAUUAACACAGUCCUAUGUUUACUGGCCUAAUUUUGCCUUGAAAUAUUCUAACAGUUUUGAAAAUUACUGUUAUUUGGGGUUCCCAAACAUGACCUGAUGCUGAAUCUGGUGUUGAAAGUUAAUCGGAUUCGACCCAAGUAGGGUUCAAGGGGUUCUUUGAGAUGUAACCUUUUUUGUUUUUCAUGUUUUUGUAUUGAGAAUUCAAUGCAUGGAAGUCUAAAAACUGGUUGAGAUUCAAAAUUAUUUCCAAAGUAAAAAAAGGCAUGAUCAAUUUACUUUUCAAAAUUGUCAAGUGUAUAGUUCCAAUAUACUUAUUUGAGUUGUGCUCUGUAAAAAGGGGGUUUAAUGCAUGUGCAUCAAAUGUAGUCCCAGAUUCUUCUUGAUAAUCUCUUUAACAGAUACACUGUAACUCCAAUCUAUCGUGGUAAGUGGGUCCAUAGAUCGUGACGGCGAUAUAUCCGGGGCGCGAUAUAACUUCAGAAUUGUCUAGCUUAAUCAUAUUUCGGUUAAUCUGUUAAAUUUCGCAAAUGUUAAAAUUGUUCAUACAGCGCAGCUGCAUAUUUGUAUUGUAAUAAUUGCAAACCAAUUUGUAGAUGAACAUUUUUAUAACUACAUACCUAUCUGUAUAAGUUUUGUUUAUCAUAAAACAAAAUUUUAAAUUAGAUUUUUAGCUCACCUGAUUGCUCAGGUGAGCUUUUGUGACCGGUCUUUGUCCGUCGUAUUUCCGUCCGUCCGUCCGUUAACAUUUGCUCGUAAACACUCUAGAGGCCACAUUUCUUGCCCCAUCUUCUUGAAACUUGGUCAGAAGCUUUGUCCCAAUGAAAUCUCGGCCGAGUUUGAAACUGGGUUGUGCCGGGUCAAAAACUAGGUCACUAGGUCAAAAAAAAGAAAAACCUUGUAAACACUGUAGAAGUCACAUUUCAUGCCCAAUCUUCAUGUAACUUUGUCAAAAUGUUUGUCUUAAUGAUAUCUUGGUUGAGUUCAAAAGUGGUUUUGAUCUGUUGAAAAAACGUGGCCGCCAGUGGGCGGGGCAGUUUUUCUUAUUUGGCUAUAGAGAAACCUUGUAAACUCUCUAGAAUUCACAAUUUUUGCCCAAUCAUCAUGAAAGUUGGUCAAAACAUUGGUUCAAUUGAUGUCUCGGAUGAGUUGGAAAAUGGUUGAGAUCGGUGAAAAAACAAGGCCGCCAAUGGGGGCAUUUUUCUCUAUAUGUAUAUAGUGGCAGUUUUCCCUAUUUGGCCAUAGAGAAACCUUUUCAACACUCAAGAAGUCACAAUUUUUUCCCAAUCAUCAUGAAAGUUGGUCUAAACAUUGGUUUUAUUGAUAUCUGAAAAUGGUCGGGAUCGGUGAAAAAACAUGGCUGCCAGUGGGCGGGGCAUUUUUCUCUAUAUGUAUAUAGUGAAAACAUGUGAACACAGUAGAAGUCACAUUUUUGGCCCAAUUUUCAUGAAAUUUGCUCAGAACAUUUGUUUCCUUGAUACGAGAGUUGAGUUCAAAAAAUGGUUCCGGUCAGUUGAAUGACAUGAAUGCUGGGAGGGGGGCAGUUCUCUCAUUUUGCCCCCCCCCCCUUUCGAAGAAGAGGGGGUAUAUUGUUUUGCUCAUGUCUGUCAGUCCGUCCACCAGAUGGUGUCCGGAUGAUAACUCAAGAGCGCUUAUGGCAAGGAUCAUGAAACUUCAUAGGUACAUUGAUCAUGACUCGCAGAUGACCCCUAUUGAUUUUCAGGUCACUAGGUCAAAGGUCAAGGUCACGAUGACCCGAAAUAGUAAAAUGGUUUCCGGAUGAUAACUCAAGAAAGCUUAAUUAUGCCUAGGAUCAUAAAACUUCAUAGAUACAUUGAUCAUGACUUGCAGAUAAACCCUAUUGAUUUUCAGGUCACUAGGUCAAAGGUCAAGGUCACGAUGACCCGAAAUAGUAAAAUGGUUUCCAGAUGAUAACUCAAGAAAGCUUAGGCCUAGGAUCAUGAAACUUCAUAGGUACAUUGAUCAUGACUCGCAAAUGACCUCUAUUGAUUUUCAGGUCACUAGGUCAAAGGUCAAGGUCACGGUGACCCGAAAUAGUUAAAUGGUUUCCAAAUGAUAACUCAAGAACGCUUAUGCCUAGGAUCAUGAAACUUCAUAGGUACAUUGAUCAUUACUCGAAAAUGACCCCUAUUGAUUUUCAGGUCACUAGGUCAAAGGUCAAGGUCACGGUGACCUGAAAUAGUAAAAUGGUUUCUGGAUGAUAACUCAAGAACGCUUAUGCCUAGGAUCAUGAAACUUCAUGGGUACAAUGAUCAUGACUCACAGAUGACCCCUAUUAAUUUUCAGGUCACUAGGUCAAAGGUCAAGGUCACGGUGACCUGAAAAAGUAAAAUGGUUUUUGGAUGAUAACUCAAGAACGUUUAUGCCUAGGUUCAUGAAACUUCAUAGGUAUCAGACCUGUUUACUUCUACGGAUUCGCCGUAGUUACUACAGAUUAUUUUGCUAAACUACGCACUAUGGAUUUGUACUGAAAAACUACGGAUCCAUCGAUCAAAAUGGUCAAAUUUCAGUUUUUAUCCGUACUUUUGCUUAUUUUCGGUCUUAAUGGGUAAUUAAUUAAUCAUAAUCAUUUCGGUGCUUGCAUAGUAAAAAACGUUGAAAUUCAAGCCUCCCGGGGAACGAGUGCUAUCGAGCUUGUGGAGUCGUCACCGAACUGACUUGGUAUUGGUUCGCAAAUUUAGCCGAAUAUAUAUGAUUUUACGUUGCUAUCCAGUAUACACAUCUCUCUCUCUCUAUUGCGGAGAAUACCGACGAUAGUCGAUGUAUUGGGGCUGAGCACGCCUGUUUUUACACACAUCCAAGAUGGGGGCAAGCAGACGAGAAAUUGCGAUUAACGGCGAAAAUAAUAAAUGCCAUUCUAAUUAACAACGGAUAUCAUAUGGUCAUUAGGGAAUAAUGUAAUGUGUAUGUCAAUUAACGCAACAUUCUUCGUUUGAGAUUAAAAAAACAAAAACAAAUGUUUAUCAGAAAUCUGCACAGUGAAUGUGCGUCAAUGACACGAGUGUUGGAAAAUUGGAGUUUAGUCUACUCACAAAGUUAAAGCAUUUAUUAUAAUAAGAUGAAUAUCGUUCGAAAAUGGAAAGAGACAAACUUGAUUUGAUUUAUAUGUUAGUGGAUCUGUGUAUAAUCAGAUUCAUAUGCAUAUUCUGCUUUAUUAUGUUUGUUACGCUGUACAGUUUAAUGAAAUAGCAUUGAACUGAGGUUGUCAAGUGCAAGAUAUUGAAAGGUAAACAAAUAAAAUAUAUAAUUAUGCCCCCCUUCGAAGAAGAGGGGGUAUAUUGCUUUGCUCAUGUCGGUCUGUCGGUCUGUCUGUCGGUCGGUCGGUCUGUCCGUCCACCAGUGGUUGUCAGACGAUAACUCAAGAACGCUUGGGCCUAGGAUCAUGAAACUUCAUAGGUUCAUUGAUCAUGACUCGCAGAUGACCCCUAUAGAUUUUGAGGUCACUAGGUCAAAGGUCAAAGUCACGGUGACCCGAAAUAGUAAAAUGGUUUUUGAAUGAUAACUCAAGAACACAUACGCCUAGGAUCAUGAAACUUCAUGGGUAGAUUGAUCAUGACUCGAAGAUGACCCCUAUUGAUUUUGAGGUCACUAGGUCAAAGGUCAAGGUCACGGUGACCCAAAAUUGUAAAAUGGUUUCCGGAUGAUAACUCAAGAAUGCAUACACCUAGGAUCAUGAAACUUCAUUGGUAGAUUGAUCAUGACUCGCAGAUGACCCCUAUUGAUUUUGAGGUCACUGGGUCAAAGGUCAAGGUCACGGUGACCCGAAAUAGUAAAAUGGUUUUCGGAUGAUAACUCAAGAACGCAUAUGCCAAAGAUCAUGAAACUUGAUAGGUAGAUUGAUCAUGACUCGCAGAUGACCCCUAUUGAUUUUGAGGUCACAAGGUCAAAGAUCAAGGUCACGGUGACCCGAAAUAGUAAAAUGGUGUCCGGAUGAUAACUCAAGAAUGCUUAUGGCUAGGAGCAUGAAACUUCAUAGGUACAUAGAUCAUGACUGGCAGAUGACCCCUAUUGAUUUUGAGGUCACUAGGUCAAAGGUCAAGGUCACAGUGACAAAAAACAUAUUCACACAAUGGCUCUCACUACAACGGAGAGCCCAUAUGGGGGGCAUGCAUGUUUUACAAACAGCCCUUGUUUUAACUCCAUUUAAUACAUCAUUAACAGAACAAGAACACUAAAGGAUGUUUGUCAAUAUGUGUUUAUGUUUUCCCCUUAUGAUAUUUAAUUUAAAAAAAUACUGAAUUAAAUUAAUAGCUACUCUUCAAGAGCUUAUGAUCAUAUGGUGUAUUUAAGAAUCUAUAGAUUAUUGCAAGUUUAAUGUGCAUGUGGAUGGAUAUUAACUAAAUAUUGUCUUAUUGUAAUAAGACAUUGAAGCAGCACUUUAUUAUAUAAAAUGCUGUCAAACAUGCACUUAAAAACAAUUUUAAUUCUGUUACUUGUAAUCAUAUGUUUAAUGCUUAAUGUCUCCCAAUUUCAUGGUUUAUCGCGCUAUUUUUUCCAAUUUCAUGGUUUAUCGCGCUAAUUUUCCAAAGCCAAAUGGCACAGGCUGUAACAAAUCAAAGGAAAAAAAAAUCACUUAACAGAUUUUAUUAUUAGCAAGUAAAUUCAUCUCAUGCUUUAUGUACCGUUAAACUGAUAUGUGACCCAGUCAUGGUGUUUUAAUGCUCUAAAUGAUUGAAAAAUUUAAAACUACUGACAACAGCCCCAAACUACUGAGAGAUGCCCUCCGUACUACUGAGAAGCAAUCGGUAGGGUAAACAGGUCUGAGGUAUAUUGAUCAUGACUCGCAGAUGGCCCCUAUUGAUUAUAUGGUCACUAGGUCAAAGGUCAAGGUCACAGUGCCAAAAAACGUAUUCACACAAUGGCUGUCAAGGUCAUGGUAACUCAACUUAGAAAAAUGGUUUCAGGAUGAUAACUCAAGAAUCUUACGCCUAGGAUCAUGAAACCUCAUAGGUACAUUGAUCAUGACUCACAGAUGAAAAAAUGAUGAAACUUGACCAGGAUGUUUGUCUGGACAAUAUCUAGGUCAAGUUUGACAUUUGGUAAAGAUUGAAUGAACCGACUCCUCUCAGGUGAGCGAACUAGGGCCAUCUUGGCCCUCUUGUUUAUGUUUAUGUAUGAUUGCUCGCAAAUCAGCUUAAAAGAAGAAUUUUGAUGGUAAAAUACUGUGAAACCAUACAUUUUUGUCAGCACAAAAUUUCGUCAUUAAAAAAAAGACAAUUUUGUCAGCACUUAAAUUUGCCAAUUUCUGAUUUUGGAAAAAAAUGUGUAAGUCAAUAUCCAAUUUGUUUGUAAUACAUGUCCAUGAGAACUCGUGGUUUCUUGGUUGCAACAUUUUGUGGUCGGGAAAAGGGAGGACACUAGGGAGUCCUGUUUGUCACAUCCGGAUUAAAUGUAUUUAUUAUCGUUGUGUGAAUGAAUAAACUGGUUAUACAGGUUUUUGAAGGUGAUAUAUGUCCAAUGGUGCGGAAAUCAAGAUUUCCUCGUGCACAGAUUUGUAGGUUUAGUCAUUCGACAGGCAAGCAGGGUAGAGCGAAGACUUGAUUUAAAUCGUUUUAUUUAUUUAAGCUCUGUUUGUGUGUUGAUGUUAAUAUAAUGUUUUAUGUGUUUCAGUGAGUUUUAUGAGAGCAGAUGGAUGACUGACUUGAGAUAGAAAGGGGCAUUGGUUCCGGACAUUUUACCAUGGGAUUUACAUAGUUUUCUAAAAAGAAUACUUAACGUUUACGAUAUAGUAACAGCUGAUUAUUUGUAGAUUUCUCUAAAAUUAGAGGUUUCAGGAGGUGAUGAAGGCACCUAGACACCGGUCUUGAGCCAUGGGUCCUCAUACGUCCCCCUGCCAUUAAAAGAAAAAUGAAAAAUGAGCAGUAGGGUUGCGUAUCCCGCUCGCGGUUACACCUGAAUCGUUCGUUACCACCGAUUAUUGUUUGGGGUGUACGUGAAGUCAUGUGCACUUCUUUUAAUUGAUGGUAAUGAAUAAAUCUUGUAAUUAUCGCAGCUGCUUUUAUCAAAACUAAUGCUUCACUUUAUGUACUUUUCGCAAAUAGGCGUUGUGGAUGGGCAUAGGGGGCGUCCUCAGUGCUUUUUGGGCAUCGGCAGCGGACGGGCGGUUGUUAGGGCCGUGGGGUCCUUGGUUGGGCUUGUGAUUUUGAAUUGUGUAGUUAAAUUGUGCAAUUGUAUUAUUUUUAGUUUAGGCUUGACGUCUGAUGGGUAUUAAUAAUAUUCAAUUAUUUACAUGUAACGCAUGAGCAUGUUUAAUGAUACGUAUAACGACAUGUUCUACAGAAUGGAUUUAGUAUCGUUUCAGUUCUUAAAUAUAUGAGAAGGAUCUCGCAACGUUUACUGACGUCUCGAGACUCUUCAACUGAGCGGUGCCAUUGGGGUCGAUAUCUGUUGCUCAUUGAACACAUACGAUCGUCAGAAGAUUUGUUUCUUGCAUUUAUGUGUAGAAAGCCUUGUCAAAUACAAACACCCACUCUG